GAAGAAGAAAAGAAAUGUUCAGAAUAUUUGGCGGAGAAAACAAAUGAUCUUCAAUCUGAUCUCAAAAGAAAGUCAAAGAAUGAGACACGUGUCACCAUCUCAAGCAACAAAGACAUUCAUGAUGGAUUAAAUCCUGGCUCUUCAUUUGAGAAUAGUGAAGAGCUUCACAAUUCUGGAAGCUUCUCACACGGAUAGAAAUAUUCACAUGUAUAGGGAAUAAUAGUUAGUUAUUUGUUAUGAUUAGUCUAGUAAAAUUCUUACAAGUGUACAAUAUAUCAUUGGUCAUUCUUUUUCUCUCAGCAAGGAAUAUCUGUAUAUAUAGACGUUCUUGUACAAUGAAAAUCAAUGAAGAAAGCAGAAAAUUUUCCAAUUAGACUCUCCUAAUUUCUACAUGGUAUCAGAGCAGUUGAAAUUCUUCUACUGAUCCGUCCUUUUCAUUUCUUCUUUCUUCUUUCUGAUUCACUGUUCUUCAUUCCUUCAUAACGUCAUGUCUGCAGAUUUGACUGAUCUGACUCAGACCUCACCUGGUGUGACUCAAACCUCACCUGGGACCGGAUCUUCAACUCUUGUUGAUUCAACCCAUCCUUAUUUUUUUCAUGCUUCUGAUACGCCUGAGAUGGUUUUGAUAAAUACUCCCUUUAAUGGUCGUGGGUAUCGAGGAUGGAGUAGGUCCAUUCUCAUAUCCCUUUCAGCCAAAAACAAACUGGGAUUCAUUGAUGGAUCUUGUCCUACCCCAGCCAUAACUCACUCAGAUCUGAAAAUCUGGAAUGGGUGUAACGAUAUGGUAACAUCUUGGUUACUAAAUUCUCUCACCAAAAGGAUCGCUGAUAGUGUUUUUAUUCUAAAACAGCAAAAGACCUCUGGACAGAUCUGGAGCACAGGUUUGGACAACCCAAUGGUGCAAAAUUGUACCAGCUACAAAAGGAAUUAGCUGACUUAGUUCAGGGUUCAACCGACAUUGCAGGCUAUUUCACUAGACUCAAAAGUGUUUAUGGGAUGAACUUGACACUCUCAGCACCAAUAUGCAGCGUUCUUGCAUCUGUGACUGUGGAGGAAAACACAAAAUGAUGCAAUUCAAAAAUGAUGAAAGGCUCAUUCAAUUCCUAAUGAGGUUGAAUGAGACUUAUGCUCAAGCAAGAAGUAAUAUUCUCAUGAUCAACCCUUUGCCUAGUGUAAACCAUGCUUACUCACUACUGAUGUAGGAUGAAAAUCAAAGAGAAGUGCAUGUGAGUUCACAGUUUCUGGGAGAUGGAACUUCUUUCAUGGCAGGACAACAGAACACUCAAAUCAACAAGGGAAAUCACAUUAACUAUCAGCAGAAAAUUGGACACAACUCAGUGAAAGGAAACAACAAUCCCAAAGGCAAGAAAAAUGGUCAGAUGUGUUCCUACUGCAAGAUGACCAAUCACACCAUUGAAAAUUGCUAUAGGCUUAUAGGUUUUCUCUCUGAUUUUAAAUUCACUAAGCCAAAGAAAUUUCAAGGAACUGCAAAAGGGAAUUCUGCCACAACAAUGGAACAACUGGAGGGAAUUCAAAGCAACUCAGUUGAGGGACCUCAAUUUGCCCAGAAACUAUCACCAGACCAAUUUUCUCAGCUAGUUCAACUUCUGAAUCAAAUUCAAGUGGGACAAUCAGGUUCUUCAGAAGUUAGUGCAAAUUCAGUUACUGCAAAUUCAGCAGUUGGUAUAUUCCUUACAAAUUGUCCCUCAUGUUAUUCAGUUGCUAACUCUAACUCUAGUUCUUGAAUCAAGAUUCAGGGGCCUCUCAGCAUAUGUGCUAUAAUGUACAGUCUUUCUUGUUUCUUUUACCCCUUCCUGUUCCUAUAAUGGUCAAGCUGCCUAAUUCAACUAGGGUAAAAGUUACACACACUGGUAGUGUUUCUAUUUUUCCAGGUCUUACACUCAGAGGUGUUCUUCACAUUCCUAGUUUCAAAUAUAAUCUUUUGUCAGUAAAUAGACUUUGCCAGGCAUUCAAGUGUUUCUUAAUUUUGACUUCUUUUGGAUGCAUUUUGCAGGGCCCUCUCCUGAAGAGCCCUCAAGUCUUUGGUGAAGCUAAGGAAGGUCUCUACCUUUUGGAGCCUCAUAGGACAGUCUCUAAGGAUCAUUCUGUCAAGCCUUCUUUUUCAUCUUUUAAGAGUUGUCUUUCUAGUUUAGUUUCAGUACCUUUAUCUAUUUUAGCAAAAACAGAUUAUGAUGUAUGGUUAUGGCAUGUUAGACUUGGGCAUUUGCUUUUCAAUGCAAUGAAAUAUAUUAGCUCCAUUUCAUUUCCAUCUACUUUUUAUUGUUCUUGUGAUGUAUGUCCUUUGGCUAGACAGUCUAGAUUGCCCUUCCCUCUCAGUCGCAUCAAAACUAAAGGCAUAUUUGACUUGAUUCACAUUGAUACCUGGGGUCCAUACAAGACCUCCACUUACAAUGGAUAUAAGUACUUUCUAACAAUUGUUGAUGAUUUCAGUAGGGCAACUUGGACUUAUUUACUCAGUACUAAGAGCAAUGCUUUUUCAGUUUUGAAAUGGUUCUUGAGCAUGGUAGAAAGACAGUUUGGUACUAAAGUCAAAAUUAUAAGGUUUUACAAUGCCUUAGAAUUGGGCACAGGGACAUCAGCUUCCAUUUUCCUCAAAUCACAAGGUAUUUUACAUCAAACCUCAUGUGUGGGUACUCCUCAACAGAAUGGUAUUGUCGAAAGGAAGCAUAGACACCUAUCAACAAGUUUCCCUCUAGAGUUCUACAAGGAAAGACUCCUUUUGAAAUGCUCUUUAAUCAGAAACCUUCUUAUCAGUUCCUAAGGUGUUUUGGGUGUGUGUUAUGCCUCCACAUUAUCUCAUCACAUGGAUAAAUUUGAACCUAGGACAAGGGCAUGUGUAUUUCUGGGAUAUCCCAGUGGACAAAAAGGUUAUAAGCUCCUGAAUUUAGACACUAAAAAGGUCUUUGUAUCUAGGGAUGUCCAAUUUCAUGAAAGCAUUUAUCCCUUUUCUGUCAAUUCCAGUACCUCACCUUCUCUAUUUCCCAUUUCCUCUCCCAUUUCUGAACCUUCUAUGACCAACAUACCUACUGAUUCUCCUCCCACCAUACUUUUUCCUUCAAAUACAUCUCCUGUCUCUCCUACUUCUCCUUUCUCUCAUUCUCCUAUGCCUUCUGUCACUCCCUCCUCUUCUAACCCCAUGCCUUCCCCUGCUCCUCCUUCUUCUACUUCUAUCAUACCUUUGAGGAGAUCUACCAGAAUCAACCUAGGCACUCAGCCUAGUUAUCUAAAGGAUUUCAUUUGUAACAAUGUUUUUGUCACUGAUUUAACAAGGUCUUGUCUUGCCACACCAUCCUCUCCUCACACUCUUUCUUUCACUGCCCUAUCUCCACAUAACCAACAUCUCUUUCACUCUAUUUCUCCUAUUACUGAACCUACAAGCUACUCCCAAGCUUGUUCUCAUUCAGGUUGGUAGCAAGCUAUGGACACAGAAAUGGCUGCCUUAGAAGCAAAUCAAACAUGUGAGGUUCUACCUCUUCCACCUGGGAAGAAAGCUUUGCCCUGUAAAUGGGUUUGCAAGGUCAAACAACAUGCUGAUGGUAGUAUUGAAAGGCUAAAGGCUCGUCUAGUUAUCAGAGUAGACAUUCAAAGAGAGGGCAUCGACUACACUGAAACUUUCUCUCCGGUGGUCAAAAUGAUCACCAUCAGAUGCCUAUUGUCUAUUGCAGUCAAGAAAGGGUGGGAUGUUUCACAAUUUGAUGUGAACAAUGAGUUUUUACUUGGUGACCUAAAGUAUACAUGAAAUUCCCUGCAGGUCUGACCCCUCCUACUCCCCAUCAUGUUUGCAAGUUACAAAAAUCGCUUUAUGGCCUCAAACAAGCCUUAAGGCAGUGGUAUGCCAGGCUUGCAGGGGCUCUCAGUUUCAAAGGAUUCUCUUCUUCUCUUAAUGAUUAUUCUCUACUUUUUAAAAAGACAGGGGAUUUCAUUUCUAUUGUUACAGUUUACGUUGAUGAUAUCUUAAUUACUGGCAAUCAUCCUACUGAAUUGACAGACCUCAAAGCAUUUCUUCAUUCAGAAUUCAAAAUUAAGGAUCUUGGAUUGAUACACUACUUUCUAGGCAUGGAAAUCUUAUGAGAACAAGCUGGUUUUAUUAUUCCUCAGCAAAAAUUUAAAUUUACAGAGGACUUACUAUCUGAGUUUGAUUACUCCCAUCUUUCCAUGGUGUCUUCUCCUAUUGAUCCUUCUUUCGCACUCACAGCUGACUCCAGUCCCCUCCUUGCUGAUCCUUCAGUUUUUCGGCGUCUUGUCGGCAAAUUAAAUUACUUGACACAUACACGCCCCGACCUUUCUUUUGCUGUUUUGACUCUAAGUCAAUACAUGCAGAAGCCUUGUCUUGAUCACUUCACAGCAGCUCUUCGAGUUCUUCAUUACCUUCGUACUAAUCCAGGACAUGGGUUGUUUUUGAAUUCAAGACCAUCUCUUUCUCUUUUGGUUUUUUGCGACGCCGACUGGGCCUCCUGCCGCGAUACUCGCCGGUCUAUCAGUGGGUUCUUCAUCAGCUUAGGGGGCUCUUCGAUCUCUUGGAAAUCCAAAAAGCAAGCUUCUAUUUCCCUUUCUUCCGCCGAGGAUGAGUAUCGUUCCAUGCAGUGUUUAGUGGCUGAGCUUACUUGGCUAACUCGCCUCCUUACAGAUCUAUCCGUACCACCACCAAUUCCGGUUCCUAUUUUCUCCGAUAGUCAGGCAGCCAUACAUAUUGCACCGAACACCGUUUUCCACGAACGGACGAAACAUGUGGAACUUGACUGUCACUUUGUGAGACAACAAUUUCUAUCUGGCCUCAUCUCCCUUUCAUAUUUGCCUUCAAAAUCACAACUUGCUGAUUUGUUUACCAAACCCCUUUCUGGGCCUUCACAUCGAUCCAUCCUUGGCAAGUUGGGUCUCUCUUCUUUCCCCUCCAACUUGAGGGGGGAUAUUGGGAAUCGAUCUCUUGAUUCUAGUUCUAAAUCUGUUUUGUCUCACGAAGAAGAAGAGAAGAAGAGGAAAGCAGAUGAAGAAGAAAAGAAAUGUUCAGAAUAUUUGGC
rnacentral:lncRNA from 1 species